AUUCACUCUGUCGUCUUGGAGUGACCACAGGUUGUCAUCAUCCAUGGAGCCACAGUACAUAAGUAAAGUUAAUUACAUACAACUUUUGUUACAGAAUUUCAAAAUGCUACAACAUGAAAAAUAUAUGACAAUGAACCUGUGAUGUUGGUUGAUUUUGUGCCUGAUGGCUGGUCACAGAUCUGGAAGCUGGGUGCAUCGAAAAGUGCUUCCCUACAAAAGACCUUGGUCUCUGGUUUGCUAUAUCCUCCAUGUCUAAACUAAGUUAUUACUGAUUACACUAGGUAUGUACUAUCAAACAUGCGCAGCCAAGAUUCAUUGAUGCAUGUGGGGAGCGAAGGCUGGCCUGUGUGUUCCGAUCUAACAGACAAGCUACUGUUACUCAAAUUGCUGAAAAAGUUUAUGCUGGUACUGAUAGAAAGGUGUCAGAAAACACAAUGCAUUGCAGUUUGUUGUGUAUGGGGCUGCAUAGCCGCAGACCAAUCAGGUUGCCCAUGCUGACCUCUGUCUACUGCCAAAAGCGCCUACAAUAGGCACGUGAGCAUCAGAACUGGACCACGGAGCAAUGGAAGAAGGUGCCCUGGUCUGAUGAAUCACGUUUUCUUUUACAUUACAUGGAUGGCCGGGUGCGUGUGCGUCGCUUACCUGGAGAACACAUGGCACCAGGAUGCACUAUGGGAAGGAGGCAAGCCGGCGGAGGCAGUGUGAUGCUUUGGGCAAUGUUCUGCAGGGAAUCCUUGGGUCCUACCAUUCAUGUGGAUGUUACUUUGACACGUACUGCCUACCUGAGCAUUGUUGCAGACCAUGUGCACCCUUUCAUGGCAAUGGUAUUCCCUGAUGGCAUUGGCCUCUUUCAGAAGGAUAAUGUACCCUGCCACAAAACACAAAUGGUUCAGGAAUGAACCACAACAAGUUCAAGGUGUUGACUUGACCUCAAAAUUCCCCUGAUCUCAAUCCAACUGCACAAACAAGUCUGAUCCAUGGAGGCCCCAUCUCACAACUUACAGGACUUAAAGGAUCUGCUGCUAACAUCUUGGUGCCAGAUACCACAGCACACCUUCAGAGGUCUAGUGGAGUCCAUGCCACGACGGGUCAGGGCUGUUUUGGUGGCAAAAGGGGGACCUACACAAUAUUAGGCCAGAUGGAAUUGCCUAGCAGGUGGGAUUCGGCACAUGGGCCUUAGUUUUCCCACCUCUGGUCUAUUGGAUCCACUGUUAAAUUAUUACACAGGUUAGUGUUGAACUAUAUUUGAAUAUUUCAAAGUGUCUGGUCUUUAAAGUGAAUUGUUGAGUUAUUAUCCUUCAGAGUAUGUGAGCGGAGUGGAGGGAGAGCAUUGCGAGAAGUGGAGAGGGAUCAAUUUGACUGGAGCAUUGGGUCAUACGGAGCAUGCCAGAAUGGUGGCACUCGAUAUUGCCCCAGUACCGUUCUGUUUGAAAUAAAGAACACCAUGUCUCAGCCGAUAAAUUCUAUCAGAAUGUCUCCACUGGGUACAGGCAAUACACCUAGGAUUUUGUGUCUAAUUUAUUUUUAUUUUUAACAAGUACAUUUUGAAUUUGAUUUAAAACAGCUUGGUUACAAAAUGUUGUUUACAUGUUUAGUACUUGAUUUUCCUGGCAGCUUAGAGGGUGUUGCAUUUGAUUACAUUUUUCUUUAAAGGCAACACAAAUUCUUUGAAUAAUUAACAAAUAAACUACCCUUACCUAUUAAAUUGUAUACAUGUAAUUUAAAAGGCAUACUCAUACUGUAAACAUCAGUGUUUUUGUAAAUGAAAGGUAUGAAUGGUUGUGUCAUUCAUGAAAUUGAAGUCCUAUGGACUUUAUCAAUUGAGAUCCUAAACAAAUACAUUAUCUUACAUGGUAUUUUAGUCUGAGAACCUUGCAUGGUAGUUUAUUUUUAGAUGGUUUAUCCUGAAAUGGGUGCCUGAAAAUACCUUUGUGAUCGGGUUCGGGCUGAGAAUGAUACCUAAUUCUGUGUCUUCAGCUAACACAGUGUCUUCAGCUGCAGUUUGCUGGCAUCCAUGCUUAUAGCCUUUCCUCUAGAUCACUCAACCCCUUUUAGCAUGUGUAGGAUUUAGGCCUAGCCUCGCUGAACCUGUACUGUAUGUGAUUUGUCUGCGACCUUCCUAUAGUAUUCAUUUAUAAUAAAGUGAAUGACCC
ensembl:lncRNA